GACGAACGCUGGCGGCGUGCUUAACACAUGCAAGUCGAACGGAAAGGCCCUGCUUUUGUGGGGUGCUCGAGUGGCGAACGGGUGAGUAACACGUGAGUAACCUGCCCUUGACUUUGGGAUAACUUCAGGAAACUGGGGCUAAUACCGGAUAGGAGCUCCUGCUGCAUGGUGGGGGUUGGAAAGUUUCGGCGGUUGGGGAUGGACGUGCGGCUUAUCAGCUUGUUGGUGGGGUAGUGGCUUACCAAGGCUUUGACGGGUAGCCGGCCUGAGAGGGUGACCGGCCACAUUGGGACUGAGACACGGCCCAGACUCCGACGGGAGGCAGCAGUGGGGAAUAGUGCACAAUGGGCGGAAGCCGUAUGCAGCAACGCCGCGUGCGGGAUGACGGCCUUCGGGUUGUAAACCGCUUUCGCCUGUGACGAAGCGUGAGUGACGGUAAUGGGUAAAGAAGCACCGGCUAACUACGUG
rnacentral:rRNA from 1 species